AACAGGAGGAGAACCUCGUCCUGACAUGAGCAAAGUCAAAGGCCCGGUUCUUUUAGAUCGGAUGGGGGGAGAGGCCUCACAACAUCCUAAUAUACCCCCACAGCCAUGUCAGGAACAGGAGGAGAACCUCAUCCUGACAUGAGCAAAGUCGGAGGCUCGGUUCUUUUAGACCGGAUGGGAGGAGAGACUCUCGCAAUGGCCCUUAUAUGCCCCCGCGGUCCCGUUGGAAACAGGAGGAGAACCUCAUCCUGACGGUGACAAAAUCCGGCCACCCAACAAGAUCGGAUGAAGGGGAAAGACCCCUCAGCGGUGCCUUCACACUCCUACGCAACCCCGCAAAAAGCGAGGGGAGGGCCCUCACUCAGAAAG
rnacentral:lncRNA from 1 species